GUGCACUUCUCCCCUAGUAGGACGUCGCGACCCGUUGGGUGUCGGUCUACGGCCCGAAACGUCGACUGUUGCGUUUACGUUAACCCGUGCACACGACAGACGUUCGGUUGCCCGACCGGCUGCCCGGCGGUAUCGAAAGCCAACUUAAACUGGUAUAGAGCCGCAUUAAAUGCGUUCGACUCGUCGGCCGGCUCGUCUCGCUCGGAUUUACGGACUUUGUGCCGUUGUCGAGCGCUUGACGGGCUAUUCAGGUCGUGCGAUGUACUCGGACUGGCUCGAUGCAUUCGCAAGGAUGUACCGGUCAGCGACGCUACUGCUUUGGGUACUUUCAGGACCCGUCUU
rnacentral:rRNA from 1 species